GUAUAGCUCAGUGGUAGAGCAUAUGCUUAGGAUGCAUAAGGCCUAAGUUAAACUCUCAGCAC
rnacentral:tRNA from 1 species